rnacentral:rRNA from 1 species
GUGGGGAAUCUUCCGCAAUGGGCGCAAGCCUGACGGAGCAACGCCGCGUGAAUGAAGAAGGCCUUCGGGUCGUAAAGUUCUGUCUUUAGAGAAGAAGUCUCUCUAUGUGAAUAAUGUAGAGAGGUGACGGUACCUAAGGAGGAAGCUCCGGCUAACUACGUGCCAGCAGCCGCGGUAAUACGUAGGGAGCAAGCGUUGUCCGGAAUUACUGGGCGUAAAGGGCGCGUAGGCGGAUAAUUAAGUCAGGUGUGAAAACUCUGGGCUCAACCUGGAGAUUGCACUUGAAACUGGUUAUCUUGAGGGCAGGAGAGGAAAGUGGAAUUCCUAGUGUAGCGGUGAAAUGCGUAGAUAUUAGGAGGAACACCAGUGGCGAAGGCGACUUUCUGGACGAAAACUGACGCUGAGGCGCGAAAGCCAGGGGAGCGAACGGGAUUAGAUACCCCGGUAGUCC